rnacentral:rRNA from 1 species
UGGGGAAUAUUGGACAAUGGGCGAAAGCCUGAUCCAGCAAUGCCGCGUGAGUGAUGAAGGCCUUAGGGUUGUAAAGCUCUUUUACCCGGGAUGAUAAUGACAGUACCGGGAGAAUAAGCCCCGGCUAACUUCGUGCCAGCAGCCGCGGUAAUACGAAGGGGGCUAGCGCUACUCGGAAUCACUGGGCGUAAAGGGCGCGUAGGCGGCCAUUCAAGUCGGGGGUGAAAGCCUGUGGCUCAACCACAGAAUUGCCUUCGAUACUGUUUGGCUUGAGUAUGGUAGAGGUUGGUGGAACUGCGAGUGUAGAGGUGAAAUUCGUAGACAUUCGCAAGAACACCAGUGGCGAAGGCGGCCAACUGGACCAUUACUGACGCUGAGGCGCGAAAGCGUGGGGAGCAAA